GAAAGCCUCGUCCAAAGAUUGCUUUGGUCUAGUGGUAUAGGAGCUCCAGCUGGAGUGCCCGCCUCUGGGUUCGAGCCUUGGCCACUGCGGAAUUUACAUAUGGGCUGCAGCAUCCGAGACCGAAGACCGUUACACGGUGAGCCACAUGGUGACGCCCUGGCAGCGUCCAUGCUCACUUCGGUCUCUAGUCUGGACCACUUCGGUGGGGCCAGGAUACUCGGUUAGCAAAAAAAAAAAAAAAAAAAAAAAAAA